UACGUAGGGGGCAAGCGUUGUCCGGAUUUAUUGGGCGUAAAGAGCUCGUAGGCGGUUCCGUAAGUCGUGAAGUCAAAUCUCUGGGCUCAACCCAGAAUCGCUUCCGAUACUGCGGUGACUGGAGUCCGGUGAGGGGAGUGUGGAAUUCCUGGUGUAGCGGUGAAAUGCGCAGAUAUCAGGAGGAACACCAACAGCGAAGGCAGCACUCUGGGCCGGUACUGACGCUGAGGAGCGAAAGCGUGGGUAGCAAACAGG
rnacentral:rRNA from 1 species